rnacentral:rRNA from 1 species
UACGUAGGGCGCAAGCGUUUGUCCGGAAUUAUUGGGCGUAAAGAGCUCGUAGGCGGUUUGUCGCGUCGGAUGUGAAAGCCCGGGGCUUAACCCCGGGUCUGCAUUCGAUACGGGCAGACUAGAGUGUGGUAGGGGAGAUCGGAAUUCCUGGUGUAGCGGUGAAAUGCGCAGAUAUCAGGAGGAACACCGGUGGCGAAGGCGGAUCUCUGGGCCAUUACUGACGCUGAGGAGCGAAAGCGUGGGGAGCAAACAGG